rnacentral:rRNA from 1 species
AGUUAUAUAGUACGAGAGGAACAAUAAGUGAUGACCUCUGGUGUAGCGAUUAAUUAUUCAAUUAUGUUGCAAAACUACGUCAUGAAUAAUAAAUGCUGAAAGCCUCUUAAGCAUGAAGUUAAUCUUAAUGAUAAACAAYUGAGGAAUACUACCUCUCUGAAGAGUGGGACUGUAAGAAUGAAGGUGUAUACCGACAUUUUGAGG